UAUUAUUUGGACCCCACCCAGCUGGAAUUUUUUUGACAAAAUAGGUGUCUCAUGCACCUGUCAUGACAUCACGCCCAUCCCACUGUUUUAGAACCACUGAACAGCCAAUCAGGUUCUCUUUACUUCAUAAACCAUGACAACAGAAGAGUUCCACCCCUUUACUGUAAGAUAAAAGCAAUCUACCGAAGUCUGUCCCAUUAACACUGCAAUCCACAGCCUAACAAGCCUAUUUUUGAAAGAAGUAUAACAAAUUUAGUAAGAGUCUUUCAUUUUUAGAAGAAAAAUAACCAAUUUUCCCUCUUGGACAUUCAAAAUGGCACAGAGGCAACAGAGAGAAUGGAAGGGAAGGCAAUCCUGUCCUUUUGAAUUCCAGGGAGGUGAAAUUGCCCACCUCAAGCAGAAAGUUCAACAAUUGGAACACGAUUUAAAGCAAAGUGAGCUAAAGUGUAAAGAUUUGGUGAAAAUGGAAAAGAUAUCCUCUUCCAUCAUUAAACAACAGAAGGAGGAACUCUCCCAACUCAGAUGUGGUCUACAAAAGCCAGUGAGAGAUUUAAAAAAACAAAACGUUAAAUGUGAUCAGGACUUCCAGGCUGAAAAGAAGCAGUGGGAGGCAGAAAAGAAAGAGAUGAAGGAACACAUAGAGCUGCUCACGACCUGGAACCACAACCAGCUGAUGGGAUUCUCUGCACAAAGCGCUAGAUUUAUGAAUGACAUCCUCAUCAGAGAUCAAGAGUUGGAAAUAAGGGCGGGUAUCGUGGUUCAGUGCCAAAAAAGUAUUUCCUACUUGGAGACCCUUCUCAAUACAGACAUACUGGAAAGCAGAAUGGUUCAACACGAACAAAUUAUCUCCAUCCUGAGGAACACAGUGGGGACAACAAAGAGAGUCAAUGAAGUUCAUAAAGCUCAAUCUGCAGAAGAGCGUAACAAUCAUCAGGCUCAGAUAAGACAACAGGAGGCGAAGAAGGAAGAACUUCUAAAACAAGUGCAGGAACCCAAGCUUGUUCGUUACCACGAUGAAAACCAGGCUGAAGAAGAAUGGCCUCAACUGCAGACCUCAAUCAUGAUUGCCGGCCUCCAUCAAACACAGGAGGACUUGGAGAACAUGCUGGAUGAUGGAGAACCGGAGACAAUCCAGCAGCAGGACUGCGGGUCAUCUUGUGCUGAGGAGAAGGCAGAAAGGACCUCAACUCUGAAGGCCGCUCUCAAUCAACCCCAGGAGGUCCUAGAGAGUCUGCAGGAGAAUCAGAAAAAACCCAACCGUAGAACAGCAAGGAAAAGGAGAAACAAAAUGGUCUGAGCCAGAUAAACAGAUAACAAUUUGGAAAAGAUUUAACCCUCAUGCAUUCUUUGGUACCAAAAGGGACAUUUUUGGUGUUUUUAUUUUUUUGCCACUCCAAGCACAAAAUGCUGGGUGCGUGUGCCACUCCAAGCACAUGCCGGCGUGCUUUAUACUGCUUCAUGUUCCCGCACACUGCUCUGUGAAGUCAUCAUUGUAUAAAUAAUUUUGCACAAAUAAUUUGCUGAAUUAUUUAAGUUGUUUAUAUUAAAAGAGGACAUUUUUUUUAAUUUAAUUUGCUUAGCCUUGUUUGUUUAUCUCUAAUAAAUCAAGGAAAUUCAGCGUGUGUGUGUUUGUG
ensembl:lncRNA uncharacterized LOC114478448